GACGUAGGGGGCCAGCGUUGUUCGGAAUUACUGGGUGUAAAGGGUUCGUAGGCGGUGCGGCAAGUUGGGAGUGAAAUCUCUGGGCUCAACCCAGAGUCUGCUUCCAAAACUGCUGUGCUUGAGUGUGGGAGAGGCGUGUGGAAUUGCAGGUGUAGCGGUGAAAUGCGUAGAUAUCAGGAGGAACACCUGCGGUGCAGACAGCUUACUGGACCACGACUGACGCUGAGACGCGAAAGCGUGGGGAGCAAACAGG
rnacentral:rRNA from 1 species